rnacentral:rRNA from 1 species
GUAGGGAAUAUUGCGCAAUGGGGGAAACCCUGACGCAGCGACGCCGCGUGAGUGAUGAAGGCCUUCGGGUCGUAAAGCUCUGUUGCAGGGGAAUAAAAAAAUGAAGGUACCCUGUGAGGAAGGAUCGGCUAACUUCGUGCCAGCAGCCGCGGUAAGACGAGGGAUCCUAGCGUUGCUCGGAAUCAUUGGGCGUAAAGAGGGCGUAGGUGGCUUGGUAAGUCAGGUGUGAAAGCCCAGGGCUCAACCCUGGAAGUGCAUUUGAUACUGCUGAGCUUGAGUGUCGGUGAGGUUACCGGAAUACCUGGUGUAGUGGUGAAAUACGUAGAUAUCAGGUGGAACACCGGAGGCGAAGGCGGGUAACUGGACGAACACUGACACUGAGGCCCGAAAGCGUGGGGAUCAAACAGGAUUAGAUACCCUAGUAGUCC